rnacentral:rRNA from 1 species
AUUGAACGCUGGCGGCAUGCUUUACACAUGCAAGUCGAACGGUAACAGGCGUUGGGGUGCUGACGAGUGGCGGACGGGUGAGUAAUGGAACGGAACGUGCCCAGUGGUGGGGGAUAACGGAUCGAUAGCUGUGCUAAUACCUCAUGUGGUCUGAGGAUGUAAGCGGGGUGCCAAGCAGGAGUGUUUGGCCUCUCGCCUCUCGAGUGGCUGAUGUCAGAUUAGGUAGUUGGUGUGGUAAAGGCCUACCAAGCCGACGAUCUGUAGCUGGCCUGAGAGGACGACCAGCCACACUGGGACUGAGACACGGCCCAGACUCCUACGGGAGGCAGCAGUGGGGAAUCUUGGACAAUGGGCGCAAGCCUGAUCCAGCAAUGCCGCGUGAGGGAAGAAGGCCUUCGGAUUGUAAACCGCUGUUGUACGGAACGAACAGGUUCUGGCUAAUCCCUGCGGCUCAUGACGGUACCAAAACAAAAAGCAACGGCUAACUACGUG